AGUCGGUGGCGGCAGCUCUCCGGGCCCGGCCGGCCCAGCAGAGGCUCCGGUGGCCCAGGAAAAUCCGGACCAAUUAAGUUGAUUCAGACGCAUCAUCAGUUCCCUUCAGAAACGUUUCUAGUUACCAGCCUUGCCACCAUCUGCAUACAGAGCAUCUUGCAUUUGUUACACUUUGUGUCAUCUACCAAUUUUAAGAACAAUAGUAAAACAAAACCACAAUAUGAAUACGUUGAUUAGUAUGUAAUUCCUUCGGAGGGGUAUGUACCAUUUCAUUCUCUUCUGUUUUCCAAAGCUUUGCCCGCAUGGUUUAUGAGCUUCUUCAAAGAGGACUUGGGCUUCCUACACAAUCUAUAAGGGCAACGCGCCCCACGCGUGUGACGUGCGAGAGACGCGAUGGACGCGCCUUGCUCUUACUGUGCAGGUCCCGAGAGCGCGGGGGCCACUCGCGCCCCGCCGUGUUGAGGACAUAGAAUCAGCCGCUGGAGGGGCCGGCGGGCCGCGGGGGCCCUUCCCGCUCUCGGUCUCACCCUAAGGCCUAAGGCGACCGAGAAAGCCCGGCUCUCCAGUAGGUAACGGGGCGGCGCCCGGCGGGCUGCAGGCGGUUGGGGUCUCAGCGCCGCCUAAGCCCCUUGGUGCCAGCGGCCGCCCCGGGCGCCUGCUCCCCGAGGGCGAGUGGCCUAGAAAUGUCCAGGGAAUCGGAAGCUUCCCUCGCCCUUGUCAGGACGCAAACUCUCCAGCCUCGGGCUCCUAAAAGCGGGUGAUGGGGUAGGAAUUUUGCUGGGAUACGCAGGCUCCUUCGCCGCCCUUCGCCCUCCUCCGUGCGUUCCUCCAGUGCCCAGGCGGAGGAACUCCCGCCCCUGGCUUCCUCCCCCGCCGCCUCCCCCCAGAGAACCCACUGCCCCUUCUCCCUCCCUCACUUCUCCUUUCAUGUACAACCCCCGACCCCCUGCUUUCGUUAGCCAGGCCCGCUACGUUUAUCUGAUAAUUGAGUUAUUAAAAGAUUUGGUUUCCUUGGGCCCAUAAAUCAAUAAACAGUGGGAUUAACGCAAAGGUUUGCCUUUUAAGUCAAGGGAAACGUUUAAAGCAAGCCCCUUUGAGCCUUGUUUUCAAACUAAACAGGUGAGUUGCAGCUCUUCCCACCCCCGACCCCCUGCACUCUUAAGACACUGUAUCCAAGCCACGUGCCCACUCCUAAAUCCUCGAUUCCAAACCCAAAUAGCUAAAGGUAGAAAGGAGGCGUCAGCUUGUGAUAGCGCUGCCCUCACAUUUUUCACUUUGCAAGUUCCUUUGGAGGUUCUAAAGGCCUCCUGACCAUUCUCUCCAACCUUGCCUCCUCCUGCUUGUAUCGUGACUCUCGGAAGAGCAGAAAAAGAGACUCCACCAUGGAAGUGACCUUUAACUUCUCCCCCAAACUGGGAAGGUAACUUUCUCCCCCCCGCCACCCAGUUAGCUUGCAUUUUCUUUCCUUCACUCUGGCACCACGUCCUUAGCUUUCUCCGCCCCUACAUAAAGAACUGAAGAAACUUUCAAAGACGUGGCUUUUUUAUUUUCUUUGGCCAAGGAAACCACUUUCUCUCAAGCAAUUAUUCUCUAUCCUAUGAAAACUUUGGUUGAAUGGAAAGCCCGAAACCCCAAACUUAUCUACACACAGUUCCUCCGGUACAAAGCCUUACUUAAAAGGGCAACUUGUUCCUCCUGAGAGUGUUUAUAGAGAAUUUGUCAUCACAUCUGAUAUCCUGUAUGUGUAAUACAUCAUGUGAAAAGGAAAUAACCUAAAACCAUCUGAUGUUGUCUCAAGAGCCCAAACAGUGUUUUCCCUCCUGUGCUGAUGUAUGUUAAAUGAUCGGGUUUAAAAAGAAAAGAAGAGAUACCAAAAUUCAUUUUGUUUUCUUUUUAAAAAAGUAGAAGCAACACUAUUCUUCUUUAAAUGCCAAAAUCGACUCCUCUGUUGAGUUGGUGUCUGAUUCAUUAACAUUAUUUCUGCCACACAAUCUAGAAAUAUCAAUCUAUUGACUCUUCACGAGAAGAGCUCUGGAGGGUAUCCAUAUUAAGUUUGUAUAUAUUUAUUUAUGCUUAAUUUAAUGGGAAUGUGUAAAUAUGGCGAGCAAGUAGUUUGGGAUUAUUUAUCUGUGAAUCUAUACCUCUGUGAAUGGGUGGUAAGAAAAAAAAAAAACCCGCUUGACCCUAGGUAGAAUCCUAUCUGAAUUUUUCUGUUCUUUAUAGACAAGCUGUUAUGGUAAUGGGUAGAAAUUGGUUUAUUGUCCAGUGUUGAUCUGAUUUACAUAAAUAAAAAGAUUGUUGUGUUUUUGUUGUGUUUUCAUCUUCAGUUUCUUGAAUAGAUAUUGUUUAAUCGUACACAGAAGUAUAGCCAAGAAAUUUUUUCUUUUUGUUCCCCCGUCACCGAAACACAGGCAGUGUUUUCGUUACAAUAAAUAAAUUUUGCUUCUCCGAAAAAUGGACACUUUUGUUUUCACUAGGAGGUGUUUUCGAGUUUUUUUUUAAAUUCUGAAUUGAUACUCUUCUCUCCUAUUUCUAACCAGAUUUGCAAUAAAAGCUCAUGUUAACUGCA